AUUGAACGCUGGCGGCAUGCCUUACACAUGCAAGUCGAACGGCAGCACGGGAGCAAUCCUGGUGGCGAGUGGCGAACGGGUGAGUAAUACAUCGGAACGUGCCCAGUAGUGGGGGAUAACUGCUCGAAAGAGCAGCUAAUACCGCAUACGACCUGAGGGUGAAAGGGGGGGAUCGCAAGACCUCUCGCUAUUGGAGCGGCCGACAUCAGAUUAGCUAGUUGGUGGGGUAAAGGCCUACCAAGGCAACGAUCUGUAGUUGGUCUGAGAGGACGACCAGCCACACUGGGACUGAGACACGGCCCAGACUCCUACGGGAGGCAGCAGUGGGGAAUUUUGGACAAUGGGCGCAAGCCUGAUCCAGCAAUGCCGCGUGCAGGAAGAAGGCCUUCGGGUUGUAAACUGCUUUUGUCAGGGAAGAAAUCCUCUAGGUUAAUACCCUUGGGGGGAUGACGGUACCUGAAGAAUAAGCACCGGCUAACUACGUGCCAGCCGCCGCCGUAAUAC
rnacentral:rRNA from 1 species